rnacentral:rRNA from 1 species
UACGAAGGGGGCUAGCGUUGUUCGGAAUUACUGGGCGUAAAGGGCUCGUAGGCGGCCGACUAAGUCAGACGUGAAAUCCCCCGGCUUAACCGGGGAACUGCGUCUGAUACUGGACGGCUUGAAUUCGGGAGAGGGAUGCGGAAUUCCAGGUGUAGCGGUGAAAUGCGUAGAUAUCUGGAGGAACACCGGUGGCGAAGGCGGCAUCCUGGACCGACAUUGACGCUGAGGAGCGAAAGCCAGGGGAGCAAACGGG